AACGAACGCUGGCGGCAUGCCUAACACAUGCAAGUCGAACGAGACCUUCGGGUCUAGUGGCGCACGGGUGCGUAACAAGUGGGAACCUGCCCUUAGGUUAGGAAUAACUCCCCGAGAGGUGUGCUAAUACCGGAUAAUGUCUUCGGACCAAAGAUUUAUCGCCUUUGGAUGGGCCCGCGUUGGAUUAGCUAGUUGGUAGGGUAAAAGCCUACCAAGGCGACGAUCCAUAGCUGGUCUGAUAGGAUGAUCAGCCACACUGGGACUGAGACACGGCCUAGACUCCUACGGGAGGCAGCAGUGGGGAAUAUUGGACAAUGGGCGAAAGCCUGAUCCAGCAAUGCCGCGUGAGUGAUGAAGGCCUUAGGGUUGUAAAGCUCUUUUACCCGGGAUGAUAAUGACAGUACCGGGAGAAUAAGCUCCGGCUAACUCCGUG
rnacentral:rRNA from 1 species